CGGACGGGUGAGUAAUGCCUAGGAAUCUGCCUGGUAGUGGGGGACAACGUUUCGAAAGGAACGCUAAUACCGCAUACGUCCUACGGGAGAAAGCAGGGGACCUUCGGGCCUUGCGCUAUCAGAUGAGCCUAGGUCGGAUUAGCUAGUUGGUGAGGUAAUGGCUCACCAAGGCGACGAUCCGUAACUGGUCUGAGAGGAUGAUCAGUCACACUGUAACUGAGACACGGUCCAGACUCCUACGGGAGGCAGCAGCC
rnacentral:rRNA from 1 species